AUAGAAAUUCUAUGCAAUCGACUGGAAAACGUUGUUGAGUGUGUCUUCCAACAUUCUUUUGAGGCACAUUUCCAUUGGGGUUGCACCGCUUUUUCAACACUUCACCCUUGAUGCAGGCAGAACUUUAAAUCGGUUUAAAAGUGCGAAGAAAUGCAUCACUUCGUGGCGGUUCCCUUCCUUUUCUUUAUCUUGUACGUUUGUCUGCAUCUUGGUUCCUUGUAUGCACGUGCAUCGAGCAAAACGAGUUCUAAAGUAUAAAUUCCCGAAACUUCGGAUUGCGAUAAGACGGAUUGAAAUUAUAUGCAAUCGACUGGAAAACGUUGUUGAGUGUGUCUUCCAACAUUCUUUCGAGGCACAUUUCCAUUGGGGUUGCACCGCUUUUUCAACACUUCACCCUUGAUGCAGGCAGAACUUUAAAUCGGUUUAAAAGUGCGAAGAAAUGCAUCACUUCGUGGCGGUUCCCUUCCUUUUCUUUAUAUUGUACGUUUGUCUGCAUCUUGGUUCCUUGUAUGCACGUGCAUCGAGCAAAACGAGUUCUAAAUUAGCAAUUCUCGAAACGUCGGAUUGCGAUAAGACGGAUUGAAAUUAUAUGCAACCGACUGGAAAACGUUGUUGAGUGUGUCUUCCAACAUUCUUUUGAGGCACAUUUCCAUUGGGGUUGCACCGCUUUUUCAACACUUCACCCUUGAUGCAGGCAGAACUUUAAAUCGGUUGAAAAGUGUGGAGAAAUGCAACACUUCGUGGCGUUCCCUUCCUUUUCCUUACCUUGUACAUUUGUCUGCAUCUUGGUUCUUUGUAUUCACGUGCAUCGAGCAAAACGAGUUCUGGUAGGAACAGUACAGUUGACUGAAUUUCGGAAGGGCGGAUAAAAUUUCUAUGCAAUCGACUGAGAAACGUUGUUGCGUAUAUCCUCCAACAUUCUUUCGAGACACAUUUCCAUAGAUGCUGCACCGCGUUUUCAACAUUUCACCCUUGAUGCAGACAGAACUUUAAUUCGACUUAAAAGUGCGAAGAAAUGCAUCACUUCGUGGCGGUUCACUUCCUUUUCUUUAUCUUGUACGUCUGUCUGCAUCUUGGUUCCUUGUAUGCACGUGCAUCGAGCAAAACGAGUUCUAAAGUAAAAAUUCCCGAAAGUUCGGCUUGCGAUAAGACGGAUUGAAAUUAUAUGCAACCGACUGAGAAACGUUGUUGAGUGUGUCUUCCAACAUUCUUUCGAGGCACAUUUCCAUAGGUGUUGUACCGCGUUUUCAACAUUUCACCCUUGAUGCAGACAGAACUUUAAUUCGACUUAAAAGUGCGAAGAAAUGCAUCACUUCGUGGCGUUCCCUUCCUUUUCUUUAUCUUGUACAUUUGUCUGCAUCUUGAUUCCUUGUAUUCACGUGCAUCGAGCAAAACGAGUUCUACAUUAGCAAAUGAGCAAACUCCGGAAUGCAAUUAGACGGAUAGAAAUUCUAUGCAAUCGACUGCAAAACGUUGUUGAGUGUGUCUUCCAACAUUCUUUUGAGGCACAUUUCCAUUGGGGUUGCACCGCGUUUUUAACAUUUCACCCUUGAUGCAGACAGAAUUUUAAUUCGACUUAAAAGUGCGAAGAAAUGCAUCACUUCGUGGCGGUUCCCUUCCUUUUCUUUAUCUUGUACGUCUGUCUGCAUCUUGGUUCCUUGUAUGCACGUGCAUCGAGCAAAACGAGUUCUAAACUAGCAAUUCCCGAAACAUCGGAUUGCGAUAAGACGGAUUGAAAUUAUAUGCAACCGACUGAGAAACGUUGUUGAGUGUGUCUUCCAACAUUCUUUCGAGGCACAUUUCCAUAGGCGUUGUACCGCGUUUUCAACAUUUCACCCUUGAUGCAGACAGAACUUUAAUUCGACUUAAAAGUGCGAAGAAGUGCAUCACUUCGUGGCGUUCCCUUCCUUUUCCUUACCUUGUACAUUUGUCUGCAUCUUGGUUCUUUGUAUUCACGUGUAUCGAGCAAAACGAGUUCUGGUAGGGACAGUACAGUUGACUGAAUUUCGGAAGGGCGGAUAAAAUUUCUAUGCAAUCGACUGAGAAACGUUGUUGCGUAUAUCCUCCAACAUUCUUUCGAGACACAUUUCCAUAGAUGCUGCACCGCGUUUUCAACAUUUCGCCCUUGAUGCAGACAGAACUUUAAUUCGACUUAAAAGUGCGAAGAAAUGCAUCACUUCGUGGCGUUCCCUUCCUUUUCUUUAUCUUGUACAUUUGUCUGCAUCUUGAUUCCUUGUAUUCACGUGCAUCGAGCAAAACGAGUUCUACAUUAGCAAAUGAGCAAACUCCGGAAUGCAAUUAGACGGAUAGAAAUUCUAUGCAAUCGACUGGAAAACGUUGUUGAGUGUGUCUUCCAACAUUCUUUUGAGGCACAUUUCCAUUGGGGUUGCACCGCUUUUUCAACACUUCACCCUUGAUGCAGGCAGAACCUUAAUUCGACUUAAAAGUGCGAAGAAAUGCAUCACUUCGUGGCGGUUCCCUUCCUUUUCUUUAUCUUGUACGUUUUUCUGCAUCUUGGUUCCUUGUAUGCACGUGCAUCGAGCAAAACGAGUUCUAAAUUAGCAAUUCUCGAAACGUCGGAUUGCGAUAAGACGGAUUGAAAUUAUAUGCAACCGACUGAGAAACGUUGUUGAGUGUGCCUUCCAACAUUCUUUUGAGGCACAUUUCCAUAGAUGCUGCACCGCGUUUUCAACACUUCACCCUUGAUGCAGGCAGAACUUUAAAUCGGUUUAAAAGUGUGGAGAAAUGCAACACUUCGUGGCGUUCCCUUCCUUUUCCUUACCUUGUACAUUUGUCUGCAUCUUGGUUCUUUGUAUUCACGUGUAUCGAGCAAAACGAGUUCUGGUAGGGACAGUACAGUUGACUGAAUUUCGGAAGGGCGGAUAAAAUUUCUAUGCAAUCGACUGAGAAACGUUGUUGCGUAUAUCCUCCAACAUUCUUUCGAGACACAUUUCCAUAGAUGCUGCACCGCUUUUUCAACACUUCACCCUUGAUGCAGGCAGAACCUUAAUUCGACUUAAAAGUGCGAAGAAAUGCAUCACUUCGUGGCGGUUCCCUUCCUUUUCUUUAUCUUGUACGUCUGUCUGCAUCUUGGUUCCUUGUAUGCACGUGCAUCGAGCAAAACGAGUUCUAAACUAGCAAUUCCCGAAACAUCGGAUUGCGAUAAGACGGAUUGAAAUUAUAUGCAACCGACUGAGAAACGUUGUUGAGUGUGUCUUCCAACAUUCUUUCGAGGCACAUUUCCAUAGGCGUUGUACCGCGUUUUCAACAUUUCACCCUUGAUGCAGACAGAACUUUAAUUCGACUUAAAAGUGCGAAGAAGUGCAUCACUUCGUGGCGUUCCCUUCCUUUUCCUUACCUUGUACAUUUGUCUGCAUCUUGGUUCUUUGUAUUCACGUGUAUCGAGCAAAACGAGUUCUGGUAGGGACAGUACAGUUGACUGAAUUUCGGAAGGGCGGAUAAAAUUUCUAUGCAAUCGACUGAGAAACGUUGUUGCGUAUAUCCUCCAACAUUCUUUCGAGACACAUUUCCAUAGAUGCUGCACCGCGUUUUCAACAUUUCGCCCUUGAUGCAGACAGAACUUUAAUUCGACUUAAAAGUGCGAAGAAAUGCAUCACUUCGUGGCGUUCCCUUCCUUUUCUUUAUCUUGUACAUUUGUCUGCAUCUUGAUUCCUUGUAUUCACGUGCAUCGAGCAAAACGAGUUCUACAUUAGCAAAUGAGCAAACUCCGGAAUGCAAUUAGACGGAUAGAAAUUCUAUGCAAUCGACUGGAAAACGUUGUUGAGUGUGUCUUCCAACAUUCUUUUGAGGCACAUUUCCAUUGGGGUUGCACCGCUUUUUCAACACUUCACCCUUGAUGCAGGCAGAACCUUAAUUCGACUUAAAAGUGCGAAGAAAUGCAUCACUUCGUGGCGGUUCCCUUCCUUUUCUUUAUCUUGUACGUUUUUCUGCAUCUUGGUUCCUUGUAUGCACGUGCAUCGAGCAAAACGAGUUCUAAAUUAGCAAUUCUCGAAACGUCGGAUUGCGAUAAGACGGAUUGAAAUUAUAUGCAACCGACUGAGAAACGUUGUUGAGUGUGCCUUCCAACAUUCUUUUGAGGCACAUUUCCAUAGAUGCUGCACCGCGUUUUCAACACUUCACCCUUGAUGCAGGCAGAACUUUAAAUCGGUUUAAAAGUGUGGAGAAAUGCAACACUUCGUGGCGUUCCCUUCCUUUUCCUUACCUUGUACAUUUGUCUGCAUCUUGGUUCUUUGUAUUCACGUGUAUCGAGCAAAACGAGUUCUGGUAGGGACAGUACAGUUGACUGAAUUUCGGAAGGGCGGAUAAAAUUUCUAUGCAAUCGACUGAGAAACGUUGUUGCGUAUAUCCUCCAACAUUCUUUCGAGACACAUUUCCAUAGAUGCUGCACCGCUUUUUCAACACUUCACCCUUGAUGCAGGCAGAACCUUAAUUCGACUUAAAAGUGCGAAGAAAUGCAUCACUUCGUGGCGGUUCCCUUCCUUUUCUUUAUCUUGUACGUCUGUCUGCAUCUUGGUUCCUUGUAUGCACGUGCAUCGAGCAAAACGAGUUCUAAACUAGCAAUUCCCGAAACAUCGGAUUGCGAUAAGACGGAUUGAAAUUAUAUGCAACCGACUGAGAAACGUUGUUGAAUGUGCCUUCCAACAUUCUUUUGAGGCACAUUUCCAUAGGGGUUGCACCGCUUUUUCAACACUUCACCCUUGAUGCUGGCAGAACUUCAAAUCGGUUUAAAAGUGUGGAGAAAUGCAACACUUCGUGGCGUUCCCUUCCUUUUCUUUAUCUUGUACAUUUGUCUGCAUCUUGGUUCUUCGAAUUCACGCGCAUCGAGCAAAACGAGUUCUAUAUUGACAAGGUUCGAAACGUCGGAUUGCGAUAAGACGGAUUGAAAUUAUAUGCAACCGACUGAGAAACGUUGUUGAGUGUGCCUUCCAACAUUCUGUUGAAGCACAUUUCCAUAGGGGUUGCACUGCUGUUUCAGCACUUUACCCUUGAUGCAGACAGAACAUUAAUUCGAUUUAAAAGUGUGGAGACAUGCAUCACUUCGUGGCGUUCCCUUCCUUUCCCUUACCUUGUACAUUUGUCUGCAUCUUGGUUUCUUGUAUUCACGUGCAUCGAGCAAAACCAGUUAGACUAGUUAGAGUUUUAGUCUAGUUAGACUAAAAGUGCGAAGGAAUGAAUCACUGCGUAUCGUUCCGUUACUUUUCGAUGCUAGUAUUGUUGUGAAUAGCUACCAAUAGACCACGCUUCGUGUCAGUCGAACGCAUAAUUGCCGUUUUCUUCCGUGUCUUUAUCUUGAUCACCUAUCUGCAUCUUUAUUCUUCUUAAUUUAUGCGCUUCGAACAAAUGGAAUUUUCGCAAGAUGCAUGGAACCUGUCAAAUUGCGGAAAGGCGACGUAUUUUUUCUAACCGUGUCUUCGUACCAAGCUUCUAAGUUUGUCCUUUCUCAUAGUCUUUUACUUGCAAGCUUCGAUAAGUUGAGAUCUCUACAGUUUAAAUACUUUAUUCGCUCUAACGUUCGGGAUACCGAGAUUGGACUGUGUUCCCUGGCGGUUUUAUUCUCAGAAUAAUGUUCCACUGCUUCUGCGAUACGUACACUCGAAUCAUUGUAUGGGAAAAUAAAUACAUCAUUAGCUAUGCUUUGCUCAUAUUCGAGUAAUUUCGUGUUCACUAUAUUACGUUACUUUAAAGAGAAUAAAAAAGAAAGGAUAAACUCUAAAAUAUUUCAUGGAUCAGAGAAUUAGUGGCGGAAGCAACAGAGAAUAAUUUACACAGCGCACGUAACAGGGGUUGUGUGUUGUGCAUUUUUGCAUCCGGAAAUCAAUGUCGUAAAUAUUUCGGAAUGAUAUGGACAACAUCGGAGCAUCUUGGUCUGGUCCACUUUCCUGGAGAAUUCCGUAGAAUAUCGUGGCCUGGUCAAUGACCUGCGGUAUCUCUGUACGUGUAGUAUACAAUGUCCUGUCGAACGGAAAUCGUUCCGCUUUAGUGGUGCAGUUGCAAAGGACCCAGAGAAGCAGUAGCAGGUCAGCCAGCCGAUGCAUUCUUGUCCGCUACUAAAUAAAACUAGGAGAAGACGUCCUCUGCUACGUCGAUUCUUGCUUCUGAAUAUCGAUUUUAUCUCUACCCGCACGCCACAAUGUUGCAGCGCGAGACAAAACGUAAACAAGGUUCUGCACGCGAUCUCCUACCCAUUUCCGAUUUUAUGUUGCUAUUUUAUCGCUUAGCUGAUCAGCAUAUAGCUGUCGAUAAAACUGCGCCUUUUUCUUACAAGGCGUUUCGUUCUUGCUCUGCGAAACGAGCAAUUUUUGACUGCGUGCAUUGCGUUGUUCGGCAGACCAAAUCGCCGCAGUAUCGCCACAACGACGAUACAAAUGAUCAAUGUGUUUCAAAUCUCCUCGCCUAUUUGUAGCCGGCGAAAGUUUCAGAAGAACAAUGUCUACCUUGCUUAAUAUGUUUCGUGAACAGCCUGUGUGUUUCGGAAUGAAAUGUACGCGAUAGAACACGUAUAAUAAGUAUACGAGAAAAUAUGGAAGAAUGCACUUGGGUUGAGCCGUAGUUGGCUUCGUUGUUACCAAGUUUCAGUGGCCGAAGUUAAUCUCAAUUUUCUUUAAAAUCUUAACGACGCCGGGGCUAAAUCUCAACUCGUUUCGCGAGCUGUGUUACGCGAGCCAUAACAUCGCGGUGAAGCGAAAGUUCUCAGCGAGAGAAGUUGGCCGAGUACUCGCAAUUUAUAAUGUUACGAUGGAUGGACGGAUCUGCACGAGCUCUGGCUACCUUAUUGACUUUCUUCCCAACUCGCCAGCAACAGACGGACGACAUCGACUUACAGGAAACGGCGAUCCUCGAGCACCUUCGACAUUCCCAAGUGCUUCUCCAAACGAAUUCAUCGCGCAACUUUAACCGAGUACUUGCUACUAAUAGAAAUCCACUUUACUAGUUCAUCAGCCGGAGCCUCUCAUAUCCGCGCGGAUAGAGUGGCGAAAAUAAUCGAGUAAUGGAACAACCGCUUUCGUCACGUCGAGUUUCGUUCGUUCGUACAGAGACGACCAGAGUGUCAACUGUAAACGGAUACGAAGAGAUCGAUAACAUAUUAAGAAAUUACACAGGUGGAAGAGUUGGUUGCAAUAAAUUAUUGCGUGUAAUUGCGCGCCCCGUUGUAAGAAACAACGAACUAAGAAACGUAGAAUUUGAUCAAAUGUGAGGUGAUAGGUUGCGAUAGUUGUAGUUGCUGGAUGCCCGAUGUAAGCUUUCGCAGUGAUAUCGGCGUUUCCUUGCGGCAGAAGCUAGCGACAAAGAACGAUCCUCUUUGCAGAAAUUGUGCGUUACGUACGAUGUACCGUAAUACUUGGCUGCUGCAGGAUGCAUAGGUCGAUUACCCUAGCGUUAUGAGAGAGCGUACGAAGACAGACUGUUUCAAAGAAUCCUGCGACACGCACGCUAUUCUUUCUUUAUUUAUUCCGUGAGGCAAUAAUGGUAAAACGAAAGGACAGGUCCCAGAGCCACGUUGUCGCAGUAGCACGAAAAUGAGUUAAAUGUAGACAUAGCAAUCUACGCAAGCGAGAGUAGAACUUAAAGAAUAACAAUGUUGUUAUCUCUAGAAAAUAACAAGCAAGUCGAAUGUCGUGUUCGAAUAGCUGGCAUGCGGUCGCAAAAACGACCCUGGAAACAAACGAUUAAAUAUCGCGGACGUUGUAAUUUGCUACCUGUUACUGGCUUUAUCUCCGCGGUAUCGAUUAUUGCUUUGCGUUAUCGCGCAUUCAGUUUGAAGGAUUCCAUAAAUAAGGAUAAGAUCGGUAUUUCUCCGAUUAACAGAGAUGGGAUACGGUGACGAAAGUGAGGGAAUUUUCCAAUGACAUUCGUGCAACGAUGGAUGUAAAAGAAAAAAGAAGAAGAAGAAAUGUGCGCGGAACCACUGUGUCGACUGUGUAGACGCAACAGUCUUUAUUCCAUCGGAUCAGCUGUAUCGUUAAAGAGUUCGGCUCACCGUAGCCAAGCUUCUUCUAUCAGAGGUCCGAUCAUUUCGAUGAUUGGAAACUGAAAGCCGGAGGGGAGAAAAGGAUGCAAAGAGUGCUGACACGUGGCGCGUAAAAAGCAUCAGGCUUCGUCGGAGCGAGUGGCACAAAGCGCGCGAUUCCACAUAGCGCGCCUCAAAGAAAAGGGAAUUUCCCAUUUUCUGAAUUAUCGGUCCCGAUCAACGAACGACCGCCCCCCUCAUCCGCUUUCUCUCCUUUACCUCGAGUCGCAAACAAUGAUUUUCCUCACGUGCCGACCCCGUUGACCCGGCACAAUGCGGAAAAUUGCAGUGAUUGCCGGUUCCGUACAACGCGAACGCCGCUUUAUCCCCCCGACCCUAUCGGGGCUCUGGGCCAAAGCAAAGAAUUCUUGAAAGUGCGGCUGUCUCGGCCGUAAUCGCGCUGUUAGCAACGUCACACGCCGCAUUCUCAACGCCAAACUUACACGCUCGAACCGCACGUGGAAUUCGACAGUUGUAUAGAAAAUAAAAUAUUGGAGCAAGAGUGGACAAAUACCGCGUAUAUAUGGAAUAGCAUUUUCUUCUUGGAACGUCAUUCUUGCGGAAUCAACAAAGCAGCGACCGAAGAUCUUUAUUGCUAUUCGAUCGUACGCUUCGUCAUCAGUGGCGGAUGCUGAGACCAGUUUUGCAUGGAAAAGGACAAAUAGAGCAAAGGACCAAGUAACAAGUAUGAGAGAACGCAACAAAUUUGCACAGAGUGAAACGAUCCUGCCACGAGACAUUGUUCUCUCGACUGCCGAAUCGUUGUCAAGUCUACCGGAUGUUUGUCAGACUUUUUAAAAUAUCACUGGUCCGUGUUUGACUAUUUUUCUCUAUCCUUAUCACACGCUUACAGUCCACGCUGUAAUAACAGUUGCCUUUUAUCGCGUUGAACCAUCGUUGCACUGCGUUAUGCUGGUGCUAGGAUUAGAAUAUUUUUUCCACUUGUUUGUUUAUACGUACGUAGUAACUUUCUCGAAAGAUAUCGAUAACUCGGAUAUCACGCGUUCUCUCUUUGAACGUCGGAAUAUAAGCAGCUUCCUUUCUCCAGGAGUAUCGAUUCGCCAUCGAUGGGAAUAACGUUGCGGAUGUAUUGCCACCUGAACGAACCAAUAGGUUCCUUUUCUUUUGUCUCGGUUGCAUUUAUCUUUCUUCUUCGUUCUCCUUUUUUCAUUUCUCCCUGCUUUUAGUAGUCACGGAUCACCGUAAACAACAGGCGCAACGUGUAAUGUAAAUAGAGAACGUACAAAGGAAUAAUCAAUCGCGAACAUGGAACAGACGCAUAAAUCGUAUCCGAAGAAAAACUUUUCCCCUUCCUGCCUUUCGAGCAACGAAAAAUGUCGAAUUUGUUAUCGAAACUGCUGGCUUUUUAAACGCAUUCAUUUUCGAAACUGCUGCUGCUUCACCUCGACAAAUUCCGGCUGUGUUAAUAAACGAUCUUUACUCGAACGUAUCUCGUUGCAAAUAUAUUUUCAUGUAAUUUCUGCUUUUUCGAUUCGGGUAGAAAAUGAUUAAGCUAAAAAUUGAUUGCCGCCUCUAAACGGAGGUUGGACCGUGCGUAUCGUGCAGAUUAUUUAUGCAUGAAUAUAAUUAUUUCGCAUUUCACUUGAUACGAAAUAUUUAAAAGUCUCAUUUGCAUAUUGAAAUAAUCCUGACACGAUGAAUUUAAAUAUUUAAUCAAACGAUCCCCACUUUUUUGUUAAACAUCGCCGCUUCCGUGAAGAUUAUAUCGUUGUAGUAAUGGUAGUUCCGGUAGUGGUAGUUUAUUGCCUCCCUUAUGGGGUUACAAGACUUUCUCUUUAUAUAUUAACCGUGCUUUGAAACCCAGCUACGUAUAAAACAGAAAACAGGAAGAAAAUCCGCCUUAGGUACAUAAACUUUGCAUAAAAUCCGGUACAAAUUAACGAAACGAACCAAGAGCUUUCGCAACGCGUACACAAAUUUAAACCCAGUGAUGUAACAAAAAUGUAACGAAAAAGAGAAACGUCGUGAUACUUUAUGAAUAGGGUGACCCAUAAAAUGAAAGAAAUCCAUACACGGAAUAUCUCACAAUUGAGCCACUACUGGCGAGUUGGCGAAAUUUGGAAUUUAAAAAUGUCUGGUAAAAUAACAGAAUUUCGAUUUAUGUGCUUAUUUGACCGGUAAUUAUGUAUUUGGGUGCCUCGUAUUUUACGAGUGUCCAAGGCUAAUUAAAUUGCCAGACUGGCAGAGCUAUAAGCGAUAAGGUCAGCGACUUCAACUGAUCAUCUGAAAUAUCACGACUAACCGUGUAUUUCGUAAAUACGUAAGAUAGUCGAGGGAUGGUGAUAUUCCAAGUGGUGUUUUACACUAUGUGAUAAGAAAAAUAUGUUGUUGGUGUCCUGAUUUUAAAUAAUCACAGGCAAAGCUUCCUAUUGAAGAGGCUUAGCCGCUGAUAGAUAAUGCGAAAUAAUGGAAGCAAAUUAUUGCUGUCACAGCUCGUUAUAUGUAUUUCAAUUAAUCCAGUAGAUAUAUGUACGACAAGUAAUUCGGGGUCGGUACUCGAUAUUCUACAAUCUUCUCUCCCGUCCGCGAACGCGUCUGUUUUUAUUUAUACUAGUCAGAGAAGAGUCGGAAAAUUCGAAUUUGUCCUAAUCCGACGGUUGCAUGUAGCGGCGACAUUGUUUUGUCCGGAGUUUACAUUGCUUGUAUUUUAGCGGUCUUGAUACUCCGGGACAAAACAACAUGAUUUGAUUUGCCUUCUAAAUCAUGUGCCGCUACACUAUCAUUGUAUGUAUGCAUACAUGACAACCGAAAAUAAAGAGAUGUUAUUUGCUCGAUCUCCGCAUCGAGGUAUCUACGUGUUUAGAUCGGUACAAAGAUGUCCACGAGUGACCAAGGGCGGUUAAACUGUCAGACUGGCUGAACUGUGGACGUUAGGGCUGGAGACUUUAAACGAUAGACUUAUCGUCCAAGCAUGCAAAAUUACCCAGCGUCACAAGACACUCAAGAGACACUCCCAGAUUAGGUUAUUACACGAUGCAACGCGAGGAAUGUGCUGUUAGGUGUGAGAGAAUGUACGACCAGAGAGGCUUCUUCUUCGGCACUUUUAGCGAGCUUCCCCGUGCAUCAAUGAUCUCGACUAUCGUAUAUAUCUCAUUCCCUGGUACUCGGGCGUCUUAUAAGUCAUGGACCUGGUCAUUAUCGAGGGAUACAUGUAGCCAAUCUUGAUACACGUAACCCGCCGCCAUCCCCAAAGAUCGAGAUGAAGAGUAAAUAUAGCGUAGAUAGUUUCGUCGAUAUAUAUCGUCCACUAGAUCGAAUGGGCAUUAUCGUCGAAAACGCAAGAUCGAAGUCGUCGUUGGUAGUUAGCAGAACCCAUGCCAUUCGACCAUUUGACGCUUCUGUAGUUUGGAAGACAAUAUUCGCCGACAGCCUGGGUAGCUUAAUUGGGGUCAGAUUGACAAAGCACUAGCGUGGCAAGCGGUAGAUCCGACUUGCAAUCCCGGCCUAGCAAUACGGUCGGCCAAAUAUCUUUCUCCCUACAAAUCCAAUACAACUGUUCUCGGAAAUAGCAAAUAUUCCGGUCCGUAUCGUAAACUUUAGAAGUCGCGUGGAUGACCCGAACACGUAUCGUACUGCUGCACAUAUCACUACAGCGUCGCGUGACCGAAGCACUGAUGGAACUCGCAGUACCCAUGUUUGUUCGAACGUUGCACCGUAAAACAUCGCAAGUGCAAGCGUAUACGUGAUUCCCUGCGACACGCCAAAACCCUGUAAUUCCCGAAUAAGGGGUCGCGUCUGUUAUCCGCGCGGAUGCUCGUCAUCGCAAGGCACACGACGACCACCGGCCGAUUGUCUAUCAGCGAAGACGAGCGAAGCGAAACGUUCGGAACCGCUGCAAUCUAUCCGUAGAGAUACACGUAUAUCUCGAUCCCUGCUUGUCCAUUCGUCGGCGUCGUUCAAUUUUCCGUAAUGGUUCCUUUCGUCGAAUGACGUUUCACGCUGGACGCGAUCAGGAACCCUCGCUCUUCGCAAUAUCUCGCGGACCAGCUGCAUUCGAGAACCGAUAGACCGUGUUAUCUUCAAAAGCAUAAUUUCUAGCAAGCUCAAACUUUUUUCUUUUUUUUUUUAUGGCUAUCGUUAGCGCAAGACCAGUUACAGAAACAUUAGGAAUAAAAUAUAGUCGCUCGGGAAUAUUUAUUGUAAUUACGUAAUCGGUUGUGCUUAGUGGUUUGAAUUUUAGCGUUCGUUAACGAGUGAUAGUAAUAAUAGUAGAAUGUCAGGAUUGCGAAUUGGAGUAUGUCUGAUUUUAGUAUAAAUGGUAUAUAUAUGCCAUUGCUUCGGUAAUUAUUAAAAGCGAGAUAAUGUUUUACGUGACGAUUGACGAAAUAUCUAACGCAACUCUAAAUAAGAUAGAUAUCGAUGUUAAUAUGUAUUUCGUCUAAUCGAAAAGUACGUCGGAGAAAGGAGAGAGACAAAUUGAAGCGACUGUAAUUGAAACUUGAAUUAAUUAAGUCGAGUGCAGCUAAAGGGAUUAAUCUCGAUUUUGAGCAUAGCCGUGCUAAGUGGAUUCGACAUCUUUAGCAAUAAAUGAAUCUGAUGCAUAUAGACUAAAUAACUAAUCGCUAAUUUCCUGCUAUUAUAUAUUUAUCGUUGCCCGAAUUACUACUAUUUCAUAGUACAAACUGCGAGAUUAAAUCCUACGUUUUUAAUAAUAAAUGAACCGAGCUGUGUAAAUGAAAUAAUUCAUUUGUAGCAUUACUAAUACGUAUGGCUACGCAAAGUGGACAAUUUAGUAGGACAAAAUUUCAUUCGCGAACAAUUCGCGUUGUAAAGAAACACAGUUCGUUAGAUCGCUAAAACUGUUGUUCCUAUCCCGACAUUUUUUCCACAAAAAUCGAAGUAACGAAGCGUUCGGCCAUUUAAAUCUUCGCGAUUCACUGAUUCCUUUUUUAUCUUUUCUUCUUUUUUUUUUUUUUUUUCGUCAACAUGAAUCGAUAACGUAGUUUUAGUUCAGCUCGUUGAAACUGUCGUUGCGUCGCACGCCUGGCCAGAUACGGCUAUCUCCACUGAAACGUAACCCCGAAUAGAUUUUCUAUUUAAUUACGACAUUUCUUUCUAUCGUGUGUCCCCGUUCGUAGCCAUUAGAACAUGGUUGUUUCGUAUAAAAUUUGAUGAUCGACCAAAAUUGUCAAAAAAACGUUCAUUCGAUCGCGAAAUCUUCGCGAUAGUCAGAUACUUCGAUACUGACUUUUCUACGAAACGCUGUGCCAAACUGUAAGUGCAAAGUACAAUUGCAAAAUCCAAAGCGAUAAAGCAAGCGUAGUUUCGACAGCUUCGCGAUAAUACUUGAGGAUUAUCUCAUUUUCUUCAAAUGUCGCGUGGGUGGAUAUCGUCAGCAUUGAGACUAGCGAUGCAAAUCGAUCAUAUCAAAUAUCCGGUCACGCAAAAGUUGGUCGGCUAUCCGGGUAUCCUGUGAGACACCUGAGAUAGUAAAGAGUUUUGAUGAUACCUUCGGAGGUUAGGCUACUAUAGUACGUAGCCUACAUAUAUCGAGUACGAUAUUUAAUAUACGUGGGACUGAUUAAUUAAUAUAAAACAGUUAUAGAAAGUACACGGUGCAGUGCCUGUCAGACAUUCGGGAUUCAGGAUUCAGCAUUCAACAUUCAGGAAUACGGCUGAGAACAGUAGGCUGUUUUUUCAAGUUAGAUAUACUUUUCAAUUUGACUGUACUUUCCAGCGGAGUAAGAAAGAACAUGGAGAAGGCUUCGAGGCAGUCAGCAGCAAUUCCCAAAUGUGACGGACCGAGUAACGUAUCACACGUCAGGGUUGCUGACAAUUGUAUUAUAUUCGUCUUCUGUCGAAUGACGUUAUCGUCUGUUCGACGACAAAAAUCUGUGGCUAAUCGCCUUUAUGGAUUACGUACUUUGCCACUUACUUGUGUCUUCUAUCUUACUAAUAUCCAAAAGCAGAAGCCGCCGUUUCUUCCUACUUUCAUUUCUUCUUACUUUAGUAUGCUAUCACGAACCAGACUCGGUGAAAACUUCGCCAAUAUAAUUACGUCGAUUAGGUGUCAUCGCAGAGCUAAGGCGAAUUCAAACACACGCGUAAUAUGUUCGUAAAAAUUGCCGACGAGUACGAAUGCUCUGACGAGCCACUGCGUAACAGUUGUCGGUGCACCAUCGAGGCACUCGCUUAUUUCUUCGUAUAACGGAAAUUCGUAUCGAAAGCGCGGAUACCAGACGUAGAAUACCGAACAAAUUGGUCCGUCAACCUUCUAAUUCGGCUUCUGAUUGAUGAACGUUUUAGAUGAAAGUCGACACAGGCUUACAGAAAGAUCCUUCGAAGACGAUUUAUGGGAAUGAAAGUCAGCGAGGACGUCUCCUCCUUGGAGGGUCGUAAGCUUUCUCGAUCGAUUCGUCGAAAACUUUUAAAAAGACCAAGAAGCUGGCCGCGUAUUUCUUUGAAACAGAGAAGCAACGACUCGAAGCAGCCUACAAGGUGAAUACAGCCAGCCGAACGAUCCUUCGAGGAUGCGUUUGCGCGUCGAUCAUAGAAUUCAUUUUCUGAUUUCCCAGCAGACGUACCCCAGGUGUGUCGUAGCUAAUCUCACCAAAGUUGGUCGCUCGUUACUGAAAGCGCUUUUCACCUCUAUAAGAGCACUUUCGGGCAAUUUUUCCCACACGGCUGCCUGAUAUCUGUUUCGUCCCAGUUAGAGAAAAUACUUAGGUAACGUUUAGAUCAUUGAAACAAAUUUAAUUUCGUUUAAGAAGUGCAAUUGAAAAUUAAAUUAAAUUGCGUUAAGUGCAACAAGUGCAUACAUGAAGUUUACAAUUCACGGCUGUGGAUAAUAAAAAUAAUCACAUUGAUAGGAUCAUCUUUUACCUUAUUAAUGACAGUAUUAAAAGAUGUCUGGUUUAUGGAUAGGUGUAAUGAUCUAUGUCUACAAUUUAUUCGUUCUUGUCAAAUGUAAUUUUGUUUCCUGAAAUCGUGUUAGCAUCUUGCUACCACUUUUGUGGCAAAGACCUUCUCUAACCUGGUUUCGCACUUUGACCAGUCGAAUGGACUGUGAAUGGAUUGCAUUUGAGUCGAAAUUAGUAGACGUAGUAGGUAGGAGCAUUAAUAUCUGCAAACUGAAUGCAAUUAAUUUGCAACAAAACCGGAUCUAGUUAACAUAUUCGCUGACAUAAUUUCCAUUCGCCUCGAUUGAAUUCUAUGGUAAAAUGAACAAUGGAAUACGUAAUUCGACUUCUACCACUGAAUUCUAUAAAAUACGAUACGCGUGCUAUACGUAUAUUCCUUUGUUGUUGCGCUCUUUUUGUGAUUGUUAUGCAGAAUGAUAAUUUCGCAGUUGGAAAUUAAUUAAUCUCGUAUCGUACGUAAAAAAAAGGAAUAUGCCUCGACUCCUUUCAUUCUUACGCAGAAUUAUGACUUUUCGGUUGAAAAUAAUUAAUAUCGUAUCAUGUGUAAAUGCAUAUGAUGGUCGACGAGAUGUAAGCAAAGAAUUCUGCGUUGGAUCGUAUAAUAAUCAUCGUAUGGGCGAAUAUACAGAGCACUGGCGCCAUUCGCGAAGCGCCUGAUCAAACAGGAUGAUUCCAGCAACCGAAUUAACCCCUUCCCGUAUUUUGGCGAGUCUGACUAGUACAGCUUUGCUCCAAGCAACGUCAGACGAAGAUUCUGGAAGAACGUUCGUGUUCGACGCUUUUAAUUCGAUUCCAAAAAUCGUGCGAUUUACUUGUCAUUAUCUCGUGCAAAUGUCACGCUUCCUCGGACCUUUCCUUCCAGUUGGAUGAACACGGGUAAAGCUUGCGUUACACGUCUUCCUGGUUGCUGAUCGAUGUCUUCCGUUCGGUGAAUUUUCACGCAUCUUUUGCAACGUAUCGUCUCGUACUAACCGAAUGCUUGCUGCUGGAUUGGCGUUCCUCUUGUUCAUACAGCUGACCUGACCGCUGCGUAGAACGAAUUAACAAAUCGUAGCACCUUGUACCUAACUCUGCCCUAGCUCCCUAAGGUCCAUUAAUCUCGCGCCAUUACGGUCUAUUAAUCUCACACGCAAUCUUGCGGUGCUCAAAGCAUGUAAACUUUAGCUUCUGACCGAUCGCACGAUCUCACCGUGUCUGCUAACUAUAUCUCUACGAGUUCGUAUGAGAGCGUCUGAACGAAGAGACGACGGAGCAGCGCGCACGCGUUUCACGCCGGUCAACGUGAGCCACCCACUUUGCCACCCACUUCGCCACCCUAUCCCGUUCCAUUCUCUAGGUCAGGAGGAUGAAUGAGUCGAGUGAAGCACCCUCUAGGGAUGUCACCAGCUUUCCAAUCCCUCCGACGCCCCUUCCCAAGCGGCCGUGGUGCAGACUACUCGCGCUCUAUCCCCUUCCGCAGGGUUAAAAAUAGCCGGAUCCGCUGACGUCAUCGAUCUGUCGUCGCCGGACCAAACUAUUCCGACCAACUCGUCCCUGGGAAAGUGGCGACCCGACGCCACUAGAACGGCUCGUAGCUAGCGAUGGGAUCAAGUUCAAUACGUGUGUAAUUAUAAAUCGAGAUGCAAUACUAUCAGCCGCAGUUCAUACAGUUCUCAUAGUUGUCAUAGAAUUUUUGAACAGUGCUUGUAUGGUUUAGUAAGAUUAUUUGAGUCGCCAGUUGAAAAUAUUAAAAUGCGAUCUUAAGGUUCACGCAGCAAGGUUGAAUUUCUUAUAUUUCUUCUUGAUUUUCUUCGGUAUCCAAUCGAGUCCAGUUUCGAGAUUUCAUUAGCGCUACAUGAAGGUACACUGUUUUUUUCCACGAAAAGUGUUCGAAUUCGAAAUACCUUGGCGGGCCAUUCAACUUGAACCUAUCGCUGCUCAUUGCAUUAAUAACAGGUGCAGCGCAGCAGUUUUGCGACCGUCGCGUCUCGCCAACCUCGCCGUACUCGAUCAAUCGCCGAUGAGGUUUUUCCACAUGGACAGCAGACGUUCGUUUGAUUUACUGGAAUUCUCAUCGCUGGAAAAUUAAGCGGUCGGACGGGACGCGUUCCUGCGGAUGUUUCAGCAGAACGCUUCUGCGGCGAUUUUCCAAAGUUACCUGUCUCUCCGCACGCGCCACUAUUUCCAGGCAAAUUACAAGCCCGUAAUUGCUGGCUGAUAAUUUCGCGGGGUUUAACCCUGUUAAGUAAUCCCACUCAUUUCCCUGCCAAUCGUAUUUUGCUGUCAUUAAGCUCUUAAUCAGGGAAGAUGAAUCGCCUCGCCGUUCGUAUUACCAAUUUCUUCGACACAGUGAUCUCCUCGUUGCAUUCCUGUUAAAAACGAUAAAUCACCUAUGUUAUAUCGAUACUUGCGAGUACUAGAAUCGACCCGAUUGAGAUUAAUUUAUUCUAAUAUAUUCGAGAGUUGUACAUAGAUUUUUACGACUGACUAUAACGUUCAUCAAAUGCACCGCAGGGUACUCGUAUCGACCGUUAAAUACACUAUGAAAUUCUCGUACAAAUUGAUACCAGUUGUCUGUCUACUUUUCUCUCGGUAGUUUUGAAUAUUUCUAUAUCCGGAUGGAAUUUUAGGAAUCGCAGAGAGUGAGCCAAAAGAUCGCCCAUAUUCGGGCCCACCGUUACAAAACUGAAUCUCGUAGCAAAUAAUACCGCGUGAUGAGAACGCAGGAAAUUUUCAAGUUGAGCUGGCAAAUGGUAUCUUGUUGACGAGACAUCGAACGAUCGAUCGCCUUCUGAGAUACAGCAGGUCCAAGAACUCAAAGUUCAUUCGUGGACUACAGCCCUAAACAUCGAAUACCAGAUUUGGAUCAUGCAAAAUAUGGAAUUUCGGUCGAGAAUCCCUUACUAGUUAUUACAUGUACAUGACAUCUCGAUAUGAGAUCCCAAUGGAAAGAAUCACCACAUUUUUAUAGAUUAUGGAUAAAAAUAAAUAGCUGGCUAUUGCAGCCACAUUACCAGACAGUUGUGCAGUUCCUAGGAUAUUGUUAACAUUGGGACUGGCAAUGUAAAUGGAACAUUUGAAAUAUCCGGUUACGCAAAAGUUGCCUGGCUAUUCGGGUAUCUCACGAGACACCUGAAUACACGAGAUACUGAACAGUAUUGGUACCCUCCGAAGUUAGGCUACUAGAGUACGUAGCCUACGUAUAUGAAGAACGAUAUUUAAUAUACUCGGAAGUAAUUAAUUAAUAUGGAACUGUUAUAGUAAGUACACGGUACAAUACCUGCGAGACACCUGGGAUUCUCACGAGGUUAAGCCGCUAGUCAGUUUUGCCUUGAAACAAGCAACCAUCCCCUGUCAAUUAUUCGUAGAGCAGGUGUACUGUUCGACCUGACUGUACUUCCGAGCGGGACAAGAAAGAACAUGGAGAACGAGCUUCGAGGCAGUCAGCAGUAAUCCCUAAAAGCGGUGGACCGAGUAACAUAUAACACGUCGGGGUUGCUGACAAUUGUAUGAUAUUCGUCUUCUACCGAACGACGUUAUCGUUUGUCCGACGACAAAAAUUUGUGGCUAAUCGCCUUUAUAGACUUCGUACUUCGCUACUUACUUGGGCACACGUUGAUGAUAGUCGGAUUUAACAUUCCAAGGCAGAAGCCGCUGUCGACCGAAUUAUGGUAUAUGUGCAUAUGUGAGAACUGGAAGAAAAGAUAUCUCAUUCCUGGAAGGAGUCACUUUGAAGUUGUAAUAUCGUACGAUCAGCGUUCUUUACGAUUUUUUAACCACUUUGGCUCUAAGUCUUCAAAUGUCUCGUGUAUCUGGUGCAUCUCGUGAGCUAUCCGGGUGUCCAGGUAGCAUUUAUCUACCCGGGUGAAAUACAUUUGAAUAAGUAAAUACGAUUGGAAUUAUAUCAAAAUGUUUGAUGAAGAAUAAAAAAGUUACGGACUGUAGAGCUUCCCGAUGCGUAGAGGAGAACCUGCAGCCGCAAAGUAACGAUGAAGACCGAGCAAUUAACGAAAGGAUCCUGCUCUGCGAUUAUCGCAUGGUCAUGUGCACAAUCUCGAUACUUGUAAUGCCAUCGUCAUUUUUAGAAAUCCAGAUGAGGAGAGACAAAUAUUGAAUCGACCAUUGUUUCUGAAAAUCUAAGUUCAAACCCGUUGCUGCCAGUCGAUAAAAUCCACGGGACCAAUUUCCAACAUUAUCGGACUGACGUAAAGUCGAAGCGCGUGGAUCGACGAGGUUAUAAAUUUGGAGUUCUUUGAUCUGCCAUAUCUUAGAAGAAAAUCGAUCCAUCGAUGUCUGUUCGCAAUGUAUCGUUUGGCCCAAGAUUCAGUCCCAAAAUCGUGGGACGCGAAGGAUACGCGAAAACUCCUCUCACUUCUUAAAAGCUAAGGUACACCGGCAGUAGAGAUAUUGCGUGUUUGCGGGGUGAAACGGCUGAAACGUGAAAUUCGCCGGCGAGGGAGAAUUUAGGGAAACAGGGCGCUCUGGUGAACGACAUAUGCGACGUUUAAAAUAAAUGCAAUUAUAGAAUAUAAUAAGCGGAGCCGGUCCGCGUGUUACGUCUGUCGAGUACUCUGCGGCUUGCAGAUAGCUUUCUUAGGCACACAACACUACGAACUGGGUCGACGCGGGGAUCGAUGUGACGUAAAUGAACGAAAUUCCGCUUGGGACGAGUUAUUACAUCGCGAUGGUGCUCGUUCCUCUUCGUUGAGGUAAGAUUGAAAGGAAAUCAGAACGAAAGAACGAAGAAAAGGACGGCCAGAAGUAUAAAAGAUCUCUGUCCCGAAUGAUUUUCUUUUCUCUUCUGUUUUAUGUUUUCCUCCUUUUAUUGUUCCCCGUUUUGGAUUCUUUCUCUUUUUCCUUUCUUUUCUACAUUUUUCAAUCUUCCCUUUCCAUCUUGAAUACGUUUGCGACGCGAUAAAAGAUGAUGUUGACUGAGAUGACAGAUCGUAUGGAAACGGGUAAGAAAACGACACCAGAUAAAGACAAGUUACGUCCCUCGGUUUUUUACAACAGAUAACUCUGGAAUGCAGUACGCGAUCGUUUAUUAUCGUGCUAAAAUUAUUUGCUUUUGAAAAUUACUAUAACGAUAGCAGUUGUUCGUUUCUCAUCGAUGGCAGGUAGCGUGAACGUCAAAAAAUCAAAAGUAGACUCGUAUUCUUUUCGUUGAUGCUUAUUCUCAAGGACAUAUUAUUUUGUACGGGUAUUAGGAAUUACGAAUAAAUCAAAAAGUCCGAGUCUGUUCGUUUGCGACAACCUAUAGCGAAACUAAACACCAACGACCGCAACCACAACCUCGUACUACGAGUACACGAGAACCGAACCACAAAGGACAGAAGCACGACGUAGAGCCGGACCCAGCUUUAACAUCGUGAAACCGCAUAAGGCACAGUGAAGAACUAACGCGUAUUUGACGCGCAUUAAAGCUGAAUUUUCAGAAACGCCGUGAACGAGCAAUGUAGAUGGGCGAGCUAUCGGUAUCAGUGGUAUCUUGCGGAUGAUACCCGCAGAAGUAGCACAAAAUCUCUGUUCGCAGCUGUUGAAAGCUCGGUAACGCGUUUAAAGCGAGCUCGUCCGUGCCUGGUUAGUCGCGCGUGUUCGGCUGCCGGGUCCGAGAGUUAAUUCGUCAAACGAAGAAGACAGAGAGGCUCCUCGUCUGAUUUCAACGUCGGCUUUCCGCCCUACUUCGCGCACGGAUCCACUCUCGCGCAGCGUCGUUCAAAAGUGUAUCGUUGAAUUAUUCAUGACGCGUGUUCUUUUGGACUACGUUAGCGCCGACCACCGCCCACCUCGCCGAGACUUCUCGUUAAGACGUUUGCACGGUGAAUACAAACGCGCGAUCCCGGCAGAAAAAUAAGCGCGAUCAUCGAAGCGCGCUCGUUUUCCCGCCGCUUCCCUUUGUAAAUGAAAACGCGGCUUCUUGCCGUAGCUAAUGAAACAGAAAAGGAACAGCAGGGAAUUGCCGUCCACUCGUACUAGGGGACAUUUAUAAUACGUUGAUUGAAUUUCUCCAGUCACGCGCCACACACUUCUCAGGAUAAUCCAACAUCCAAUCCAACAUUAUCAGUCCCACUUCUCUUACGGUAUAAAAUUCGCGUUAGGGUGUCUGUCAGUAGGGAACAACUCGUGCGCACCGAAUCCUUCCGCGUUGGACCUAAUCGCGCCGCUUGUUGGAACCAAUGGCCGAUAUUCUCUUUGAUAUUUCGACCUGCACGCGAGACGCGAAACGGCGGAAUAUUACCGACGAUCGAUCCACGAUUAUGCAUACGUGACGUUAUCCUAUCAAUCGGGAUUCGUCGAUGGUAUCAGACCAGCCACCGGCACCGCCAACGAAGAAGCUCGCGCUAAUUCUGCCACGGUUUGCAGACGACGUCCAUGCCCUAAUACCUGAUUACGUAUGCGUGCAUCCGCGUACACGUUGGUCUACCGGGAUUAGACCCUAUCCGGACAAACGGCACCGGUCUGUUCCACUCUGGUUUAACAUUGAGCCCUUAAUCUGUACGUUAUACCUCUUAUCUGGCCGACUAGGCCACGCGGAAUCGGCCGUGCCACAUCGAAAAUUCGCUACAGCUAUUCAUUAUGGAUUAUCCGACGCAGCUAAUCAGCCAGCCGGAAGACUAUAUUUCGGCCAGGUUAUCCGGACGCACCGGAGGCCGGCUAUCAGCCGUACGGCCGGUUAAUUAGACAUCGUCGAUCCGGAGGACGACGAUCGGCCAUGUUCGUUAUAUGGCUAUAAUAUUAGAUAGUUGAUUAGACGGACGGUGUCGCAAGGCCGCUGGACCGUUUGCUUGGGAAGGCAGUUAAUUAAGGGACAAUCGUUCCGCGGUUAUAGCGUUAAUUGGCCUGUUCGUGGACCGAGCGAGUUCGCAUUCGCCGCAAGGAGUCUGUCGCCAGCGCGUGGCUGCUCGGCGUCCGGCGAAGAAUCGUCGUCGGUUUAGUUUUACAACUUGCUCUGUCACUCGCCGAAUAACUUGUUUAGUUACGAGAUGAGUAUCUCGUAUAAGUAUUAAGGCAUAACGAGGGUAAUAUGAAAGACGUUUUCCAUGGAGGAUAUAUGAAUUUCUGUUAUUUGCACAUGUAACAAUCUUGCUCGAGAAUGGGGUAGGAUAAAUUGGUUUAAUUUCAAGUAUUUAAGAGAUGGUAAUUGUAUAGCCUAUGAUCGUAUAAAUUUGGAUUAAUUUGAAAGUGCUGUUUAAAUACCUUGCAUGGUUCUUUUAAAUUAAUCCCAUUUCAUACGAUCUAUCCUACUUCUACAAUACCAUCAUACAACGAACAAAUCUGUUUUUCGUCGUAAAAAGAAAUAAAAAGAAAUAAAAGUGAACCGUAUUUAGCAAAGACCAAUUGAAAUUGAGCGAAUAGUACAAUUAACGGGUGGUUUCCAAGUUCUCUGCAAAAUAACUACGAGCCUAAAAAUGGAACUGUGGCCUGUUGCUUGUAAUAAUUAUACAAUGUGUUUAAUUAAUUUUGCAUGAUUUUAAGGAUUGCUAGAUCUCUUCGCAUAACUCGUGGCUCGAUCAGGUCUCAAGCUUGGUCCGAUCUCGACCGCCGAUUUUACGAUAUCGGCACCGAUAUAUCCAUCGACGAUUCGGUCAGAGAAAAAUCAGAUCAUGUCGGAUAUGGGACGUCAAAUCGUCUACUGGAACGCCGACGGUGAUCGAAAUUAAAUAUUCAAUCAGUCCUGAAUGGAGUAUCGAAUGAAGCGGAAAGAAGAGAGCCAGAACGAUCAGGUGGAGGCAGACAAUGCCUUUAUGAAAUUACGUUAAACGAUAGCCGCCAUAAAAACGUCAAAUCUGUUUCCAUGGAUCAUGUCGCAGGGUAAAAUCCAUUUCUCUUUCUUCUUCUAUUCCAUCGUUAUCGUCUCUGUAACCUUCCCUUGUCCGGAUAUCAUCGCGCUUCCAUCUUGACUUUUAUUCGAAGGUAGGAAUAUCCCUGUUCGAACACGUGCAUCGCUUACAUCCGUCGAUAUUCCCUGGAUCUUUAAUCCCUUUCUGUUUUACGAGAGACCGUGAAGAAUUGAAAUAAACAUUAUCGAUUGAUAUAUUUAUACUCUUGGAUAUAUAUAUAUAUUGGCUCGGAAAGUAAUCUCGUUCCUCGCAUGGAGAUGAAAGAGGAUUAUUUUUUUUUUAUAAAAAGAGAUAACUCCGUUCAGUUAUGUAAAUUUAUAUCAACCUCGAUGGCGCAUAUCUGAAGUCGAAAUUACCAGAAGAAAAUUUGGCAUUGGCGUUCGAUCGACGCAUGCUUUCAAUACACGACGCGUAAUCGUCGGAUCAAGAAGAAUACGAAGGAAACGUUCGACUGGGUUUCCACUUCGAUUACCUGCGAAUUCUUCAGGAAUAACGCGGACCCGUCACAAGGUUCCUCAAAUCUACCGUUCAACAAAACUACUGUUCAACGAUAGUGUUGCUAAAAUCUAUCGGUGAUAUACUAACGUUAUACUUAAAAUGUGCGGAUAACGUGCCAGAUACCUAACAAUUACUCGAACCAGAAACGAACAAAAGAAAGCAGAUUACGCGUGGCCGAUGCCAAAACAUAUUUUUUCUUACGAGGACGAUUAACUUGGCCAAAGACUAAACUAGCUUCUCAUAACCGGUAUUAUACCUGAAGUAUCGUUGGCGGUACGUUCAGCAGCAAACGAUGCGAAACUGAUGCGGCGCGCGAUGAAAUUGAAGAAAGACGAGGCGACACGACCGGGAGAGUUGCGGCCGUUCGAAACAUAGUAGGAAGAAGAGAUUCCGUCGAGAAGGAAACGGAAGAAAGUUCCGACUGGCAUGGACGUGGGGUUGGUUUCAAUCGGAAAUGGGCUUCCAACCAGCCGAAUAAACGACAACCGAGUCCGUGAUAGACGGUGGUGGUGCAAUUUAAACUUUCUCGUUCUCGCCGGCUUAUGGCUCUUUCGACUCACGAACGAACCGGUCCAAGAUAGUGGCUGACAGCUCGGAAGAAAGAUGGCAAAAGGCGCCACUGAUAAUAUACCUAAACCUCGGAAUUCGCCUCGGAACGAUCAAAGUAUCGGCAAGAUUUUGACAAAGAUCGCGAUCGCGGCGUUUAACAUUCGCCGUUACAAAAGGCAGAGAAUCUUUUUCUUCUUUUGUUUCACUAUAUUCGCGCUGUUACAUUUAGUUGAUACGUAGGUUAGUAGCCACGAACUUUGCUCGGUCCAACGCUGUCCGACGCAUCGUGGAGAGUCCAACACCCAAAAAGAAAAGAAUAUCGACGUCUGGCCAGCAUCGCGGUUGGCUUCAUCGCGGUAUCACUGAAUGUCACUCGGUUGAGAGUCGCGGGUGAAUGAUCGAUUUUCAAGUCGGAUGAUCGGCCAACAGCAUUCUUAAUUAGUCGGCUGAUCAAUUAAAACAGGAACGAAGAAAAAGCACGCUAUAUAGGGUGGAGAUAAAAACCCGUAUCUCGGUUGAUGUGCUCGAGAUGUCUCGUGAUCUCUGUUCCUUUCCUAUAUUUCUUCGGCAAGUACCCUUUGUUCUUUGUUAAGACAAACGUCUUUUCAAAGAGUAUCUUAUAGCCGGUAGUUAGUUGGUGUUCCGCUACCGCUGACUGUACGUACUUCAGUCCGGUGCACCUCUCUUGUUCCUUGAGCCGUGUACCCAAGCUCCUCUCAGUUUCGCCAUAGUGACACUCGAGGCCGUGAAAGUCUCAAGACUCGCUCAAGUUUCUCGAUUUGUUAUCCGUAUUGGAUUACUUGUCAUGGAUAGGAGCAAGUUAAAAAGUGGCCUUCUUCGGACCUCCUCGCCAGUGAAAAAUGCUUGCAGGAUAUUCGAGAGCGUCUCUCGGGGAACAAAAAACGUUCCAUUUACCCGAGAUGCGAUGGGAAAUACGAAGGAAAUGAGUGCAGAGAUGAAAGUGAUCGAAGUUUGGAAUAGAGCAAAUCCCAAGCAUCACGGCAUGGUUGUUGGCCAUUGUUCUCGUACGUAGCAACAAUCCGCUCGUACUGGAGAUUUUCUCGAUUUCAAGUUGCCUAUGAAUGCGUGAAAGCUCGCGGUCUAGUCAUAAACUACGCAGGCGAAACAGUCGGUGCUUGUUCACGUGGCCAACAUGGGAUUUUGUUGAUUUAAUGACGCAGUAUGAUUGACUAUUGCCCUGGCUAUCCUCUCCCAGCCCUUAGUACACUGAGAAGACCUCCAAGGACACCAGUAUAGCUUUCAUCGAUGCUCUUCGUCAACUGGUAGAAAUACGAAAAGUACCAAUUCUUCGUGAUUUCGUAUUUUUGUUGGAAAAUUUAUUGAAACAUUUAUAAGUCUACUUCUUACCCAUAGAAUAUGUUUGCCAUUCGGUAAAAUAAUUUAGGAUACCUAGUAUAUACAUAUAGAUUAGGAAGAAUUGAUUUUCUCGAAAAUAAAAUCUAAUGCGAAAAAAGAUCGCGCUGUCCGAUCACACUCUGUUUUAUUUGACUUCACUGGAUAACACUGUGUGUUACGGCUAAUAGGGUUGCCAGGUUGAAUUUCAUUUUCACCGACCAGUUCAAAUAAUUACUCAAAAUUAAUCACGGAAACGCCGAAAAGAGCACUUCCUUUUGGGACAAAGCGAACGGAAAAUCGACGAGUCUGCAAACGGAACAGAAUGCUGCGAUGGUCAAUAUUUGGAAUAGAAAAGCGAAUUUUACAGAGAGCGAUCAAAGCGAUCAUGAAUACUUUGGUACAUUUCCAACGAGCAGGGCCCGAAGCGGCACUUUCGUUAUAUUUAGUUUUAUCACAGACAUCGACGAAUGUCGCUUAUGACGAUUCAAAGAUACUCGUCUCGAAGAGUAUCAAGAAAUGCUGGUAACAUCGUAAUAGAGCGAUUUCCUGAUUUACGAGCAAGUUUUUAACUAACAACCAUAUAUAUUAUAUCGUAACGCUAUCUUCAAAACGCUGUGGAAACACUCGAUAAUUGCUCAGAAUGAGGACUCGAGUUUCGCAACCGCGACAUCACCACCGUCUGACUGACUCGCCCAAAUGAACCUUCGAAUGUUCAGCUCAACUCGUUCGAAGUUGUACCGUCUGCGAGUUGUUUUCGAUCAUCGAUCGAAUAUUUGCGGCAGAAAAAUUCACGUAAGAUGGUCAUCGUGGAAACGCGUUUAGUCUUUUGCCUGUCACCUUAAUUGAUGCAUUGACGAGUAAUGUAAAUGUACUGUAGUCAAAAUUAACGCGUAGACGGCUGCCGUAAUUUUAGAACUAGCCCCAGCCUAAUUCGGUACUCGCCUACAAAUUCCAUACCAUAAUUUGCUGCUUUAUGGGGAUAUUCCUCGUUCAGCGUUCCAAGUCCAGCGUUGCUUUUACAGCAGACCCAGUUGCCGAGGGUAACACGUUGUCUUCUAAUGAAAAUCGCUACGAUCGUGCGACGAUCGUUAGGUAAGUGACUUACCUACCGACCGUUUCAUUUUCAACUUUUCAUCCUCGAGAUGGCAGCAGUCCUUGCUUCUAUCAGCGCGAGCAACAGACCCUGAUGAUGGAAUACUCGAUGAAUCGCCCUGCGUGAAAUAUCCAUCGAACAGGAGAUCAGUUAAUUAGGUUCAGCUGGAAAUUCAUGAAAUUCCUAAUUAUCGGCUGGACGAUACAUCCGCGCGAGACGUAUCCGUGUCCCGUAUCGUUUCCACGUAAUUCGACGCUCAAACGCUGGCGAUUACGUUAAAAACAACCUUUGUCUCGUUUCAGACGACCGUUCCGAACAACUUGGUUUCGAGUUUCAGUCAGACGUACGUACACUUGCCUAUACCACCCAAUUUCCUUCCACUUAACCGAGCGGAUUGAGCAAAACUUGGCUGCCGCUGCGGACAGCUACGUACGCGCCAGAGAGCCACAAAGCAGAGGACCGAACUCUGCCGUCUCUUUGUUCCAACAAGUCCUGAUAAUUGUACAUUCGUAUCUUUGGUCGUUCUCCUUCUCAUGAUAAAAUCGAGAAUCGUCGCUGAAUAUAUACAGGGUGUCCGGCCCUUUAGUACCUUGAAUGCGUCGUGUAUGGAUAAGCGAUAUGGUUGUAUUUUAUUAAAUAUUUUAUUGUACACGCUUAUUGAACACGAUGGUACGCAAGUGUUCAGAGUGUUCGGAUGGAGAAAUUUUCUCGCUCGUUGAAUUAUCAUCAAAAUCAUUCGCAAAUGUAAUUCCUCCUUCUAUUCAGGCUGUUGGUAGAUCAAAGACAUUGCAAACGUAUUGCCAUAAACGUAAGCAAAUGAUAAGUUUGAGACAUCUUGCUGUUUCGUUGACUAUCUUCUCGGGUUAACGGGCAGAUCUCUUCUCGUAGGAUUAACAAGGUAAAAAAGAAAGCGAGAGAAUUGGGGAAACGUUCCCGCUAACGAAUCCAGAUAAUCUCGGAGUUGGGAAGCUCGGGACAAAUAGGCGAAAGAACACGUAUCGUUGGACAUUAAGCGUUACGUUUAAUAAGGUACAAAAGCGUGUUUAUACGACGCGUAAAUCACGUGUGCUGCAUUUGCCGGGCAACUCGUUGCCGUGUUAACCGUAGUAUUCAUAUAUUCCGCAUCUGCAGUCGCACGCUCAUGUAAAUUACAUAAAGCUUUCGGGGUGCAGUGUCGCGAACGAACAAGUUUUGCAUCGUUGUUUGCUACAUUGAACUGGGUUUAUGGUACGAGCAGAAUAUGUCACUUUGAGGACAUUAUGCUCCGAGGAAGUUACCGAUUGAAUUCAAAUUGCCACCGGCUAUGAAUCAGCCACCAGAGCGAAGCUUCUCUUUAAAGAAAUCUCUGUUUUUCAGACGAUAUGUAAGAAGCCCUAAAAACGAAUUCACGACAGUUCCAUUUAUAGGAUGCGAUGCAUAUGCAAAUUGCGAAUUCGUCAGGUUUAUAGCAACGAUUGGACAAAGAACGACGGGUGCCUACCCUAGGCGUCGCAGCCACGCAGAUCACAGCUUUAGAAGGGAGUUGUAGAACCCUGGCAAUUGAAAUCGCAAGACGUCAGGGCCACUGACCCGUACACCAUACGGAUGAGGGCUCAAUUUAUGGCACCCUUAAGCUUUGACGACUGCUUUUCCUUUCCAUGGCCGAAAGUGACGAAGGACCAGACGGUCGUCCCGGGUGUUCGAACUUGGCCUUUUCUUACAAAUACUUUAUGGCUUUCGAGAUGCACUUCUGCAAGAUCGUUGUCUCAUAUGGAAAGAGCAGAUUUAAAUAGUAUCCAAUUUGUACAAUGUUAAAUGGAUAUAAAUCGAUGGAUGUAAAUAAAGAAUGAUACAAAAAUGAUAA